rnacentral:rRNA from 1 species
GGACUACUAGGGUAUCUAAUCCCAUUCGCUCCCCACGCUUUCGUCCUAGCAGUGUCAGGUGGCACCCAGAGCUCUGCCUUCGCUAUCGGUGUUCCGAACGAUAUCAACGCAUUUCACUGCUACACCGUUCGUUCCAAGCUCCUCUUUGCCCCUCUAGCUACACAGUAUUCAAGGCGAGUCUGGAGUUGAGCCCCAGAAUUUUACCCCGAACUUAUAUAGCCACCUAUCGGCACGCUUUACGCCCAAUGAUUCCGGAUAACGCUUGAGGUCUCUGUAUUACCGCGGCGGCUGGCAC